AUUGUCCUCAAACGCCGCAUUAGGCUGAAAGUUUACUUUCACUUCCUGAACUUCGUGGAGUGGAGCUUGUUGUUGGUGCGUGAAGAAACUAGUCUAACCAGCCUGUACAGGUAACAACAACAGUCACUGCAUCACUGACACACAAACUUCAUCUCUGUCAAUAACAACAUUCAUACAUGGAAUAAAAACACAUCAGUGGAUCAUUGCUGGAGCUACCUGGACUUCAGUCUUCAGGAUCUCAACCAACAGCAUUGACAUGCUGCUCCAGAUGUCUGUGCUCCAGAUGUCUGUGCUCCAGAUGUUUGUGCUCCAGAUGUCUGUGCUCCAGAUGUUUGUGCUCCAGAUGUUUGUGCCCCAGAUGGAUGUGCUCCACAUGUCUGUGCUCCAGAUGUUUGUGCUCCAGAUGUCUGUGCUCCAGAUGUCUGUGCUCCAGAUGUUUGUGCUCCAGAUGUUUGUGUCCCAGAUGUCUGUGCUCCAAAUGUCUGUGCUCCAGAUGUCUGUGCUCCAGAUGUUUGUGCCCCAGAUGUCUGUGCCCCAGAUGUCUGUGCCCCAGAUGUUUGUGCUCCAGAUGUUUGUGCCCCAGAUGUCUGUGCCCCAGAUGUCUGUGCCCCAGAUGUCUGUGCCCCAGAUGUUUGUGCCCCAGAUGUCUGUGCUCCAGAUGUCUGUGCUCCAGAUGUCUGUGCUCCAGAUGUUUGUGCCCCAGAUGUCUGUGCCCCAGAUGUUUGUGCUCCAGAUGUUUGUGCUCCUGGUGGAAAGGCAGUUUCCUCCUUGAAACAAGUAUUUAUAUUGUUGUUAUAUUGUUGACCCACUAUUGAUCAUGUGACUCAUCACAUGGUCAAUAGUGGGUCAGCGACAUGCUUUCUUUCCCUCUCAGGUUUAAAUAUCUGGGACUCUCCACCGUUUGGUUUUAGAACUGAAGAAGCUUCUCUGAUGAAACGUCUUCACUUUAAGACAUCUCUUUUCUC